CUACCACCUUGUUCGCCACAAACUUUGCAUCUCACUUCACUGAGAUCUCUUCUCUGAUUGUAGAGGUCUCAGUGAAGUGAGAUGCAAAGUUUGUGGCGGACA